UUGGAUACAUUAAGAGGCUAUGUACUACAUUGCAAAGUGCAUAGGAAUGAGCCCCGUUGUCUUUUUAAAUGUGUUGGCGCCAACUGUAGUCAAACAUUUACCACAUACUCCGCUUUCAAGGGCCAUUUUUAUCGUGUGCACAAUGCACCGGAAGCUGCUCCUAUAGCUGUUCUUGCGGAUUUAAAAUGCGCAGUUUCAUUAUGUGCCCGCCGUUUUCACACGGUGAAAGAGCUUGUGUCUCACUUAAAUGAUCAUAUUGGAGAGGGCAGGUCUGUUUCAUGUCCAGUAAGUGGGUGUAAACACGUGUUUACAAAAAAGUCGUCAUUUACUUCCCUCAUGUGUAGAAAGCAUAAAGCAUGCUCCCCAGAUGGUAUCGAUAACAUGUACAGGGAAACUCGCCCUCAGCCCCCAGAUGUCAUUGCCAGUACAGAUGAUUCAGAAAACACACAUGAAGCCAUGCCAACAGCUAGUGCAGCCAGUGAUAUGCCAGAGAAUGAUAGUCAGUCUUAUGUCAGAAACCUGUGUCUCUUUUACCUUAAACUGCAAGGACAGCUGCUAAUUCCUGCCUCAACUAUACAGACUAUUGUUGAGGAAAUGCAGAAUGUGCACGAGUUAGGUCAAGCCUAUACAAUAACUAGAGUAAGUUUUUUAACAAAUGAUAUGAGCCUAUCAGAUGAAGCAGUCUCUAAAAUCUGUGACUCCAUUAAAGAGUCAGAUUUGUUCUCUGCCUGUCAUCAGGGUCAAUUAAGAACUACAUACUCUAGAAAUCAGACAUUCACAAAAAUGUUUAAUUACACAGAACCCCAAAAAGUGGCACUGGGAAUGGAUGAAAACAUGACACCAAAAUUUGCUUACUACAUACCAGUAGCAGAAACUCUGAAGAGCUUUUUACAGUCACAUUUAGGGAGGAAUACACAGUCACAACAGUUUGGAGAUCCUGAUGUAGAGGUUUUUACGGAUUUAUAUGAUGGACAAAAUUUCAAAUGUCACCAGUUCUUCAGUGAAAACCCUGAAAGCCUCAAACUGAUUUUGUACCAAGAUUCAUUUGAAAUUGUGAAUCCCCUGGGUUCUGCUAAAAAGAUGCACAAAGUUCUUGCAGUCUAUAUUUCAUUAGCAAAUUUACCCAUUCAUUUGCGUUCAAAUACUGAUAAUAUGUUUUUAGUCUUCUUGUGUGUUGAGGAUGAACUUAGGCGUUUUGGAGUAGCCAAAGUUUUCUCAGAGUUGUUGGAAGAUCUGAAAUCCUUGGAGACAGAUGGAAUAAAUGUAGAUGGACAAACAGUAAAAGGGGGUCUUUACUGCAUUGCUGGGGAUAACUUGGGUUCUCAUUGCAUAGGUGGGUUUACAGAGAACUUCAGCCGCUCUCAAUAUUUUUGCAGGUACUGUGAAAUCACAAGAAGUGAGUUUGUGGCUGAUCCGAAUGUCUGUGGACCUUUACGCACCCCAGAGACGUAUGACGCAGCUGUUGCUGAUCUCCAGGCUGAAAACAUCCAAGGCGUCAGAGGGAUAAAGGUGCCAUUUUCUCUUUAGUGCAAAUAUAACUGACUCAGAGCGAACCUUCCUAGAUGUCGCCAUCAUGGAAGUCCUACCACAACUUCAAGCAGUAAACAAAAACAUCCUGGAAGAGCACUUGCAGUCCAUUGGAGUCGAGACGUAUGAUGAUCUACGCUUCGUAACGGAGGCUGAUUUGAUGACAGCAUUAAGACCUGUAGAAGCCAGAAAGCUUCUUUCUGCUUGGAAACGGAAAUACCACACUCCCGAGAAGAGUUCACUAUCAUCUGUGGAAGCCUCACCUACCCAAUCGCUGCCAACGCUCUCUGUUUCACCCCAAAGUUCAUCGUCAAGCUUCUCUAGCAGCCCAGGACUUGACACACAGUGGGACGUCAACUUUGAAAUUCCAUGGAGUAAAUUUCCUGAGGAAGUGAUGCAGGCUUUAGAGAGGGGAAAAAGGCCUGGCCCAAAACUAAGGAGGCAAAUGGUCCGGAUUGUUGUGACUGAGAUGAUGCAAAAAUGCCCUCUUGUAGGUAAAAAGCAUUCAACUGACGUUGCAACAAAAAUGGUGGCAAAAUAUCGCAGUUCUCUCCAAGAUGUAAUAGAGGGUGAUAUUGUUGGAACAGGCUACCAUUCCCUUGUCAAACAGUUGCAAAACAGAAUUGAAAAUGUGAGGCGCACUUCAACACCCAAAAUAAGAAAAAGAAAACAUCAGACCGAUGACUCGGACCAAACAGACGAGAUCCCAUUAGAAGAUAGAGCAGCAAUGCAGGACACUUAUGGGUGCAUUAAAUGGAAUGUAAAAUUUCUGCCCCUUGAAGAAACUCAAGAGAGCCAGCAGCAAAAGAUGGAAAAACUCAAGGUGAUGUUCCAACACUUUGAUGCCAAUCCAGUGGAGGUAAAAUGUUUAAUGAAGUCCACAUUUUACACACAGCGUCAACAUGUCAACCAGGGAAAAAGUAUCAAAUGCCUUAGAGAGGAUUGGCCGUUUUGGUUUGAUGAACUUGGCAUGUCAGUCCACUUUAUGGAACUCACUGGGAUUGACCUCAAAGAGACAUUCACAUGAAAUUUGGAUUUGAAAGGAAAAAGGCUUCUCGACUACUUGACCACAGUUUGUGUCAACAAGAGCAAGAAAUUCCUUCAGAAUUAUGCAAGG